rnacentral:rRNA from 1 species
AGUUUAAAGAAAAAUAUUUUAAAUAAAUUCUGCUCAAUGAAAUUAAUUAAAUAGCCGCAGUAAAUUAACUGUGCUAAGGUAGCAUAAUAAUUAGUUUUUUAAUUAAAAACUAGAAUGAAAGAGAAAAUGAAAAAUUAACUUUUUAAUUAUAAUAAAUAAAUAUAAAUUAAUUUAUAAGUUAAAAAUCUUAUAUAAAAUAAAAAGACAAGAAGACCCUUUAGAAUUUUAUAAAUAAAAAAAUUUAAUAAUUAUAAAUUUGAAUAUUUAUUAAGUUGGGGAGACUAUGAAAUAUUAAAAACUUUCACUUUUUUAAAACAAAAAUAAAUGAAUCUAUAAAUAUCCAGUUAACAGCCGAAUAAAAAACAAAUUACCUAAGGGAUAACAGCGUAAAAUUUCUAAAAAGAUCAAAUUUACAGAAUAAAUUACGACCUCGAUGUUGGAUUAAGAAAAAAUUAUAAAGAAGAAUUUAUAAAAAUUAGGUCUGUUCG